CAGUGAUGAGAAUGACUAGCACACUUAAUGCAGUGAUGAGGAUGACCAGCACACUUAAUGCAGUGAUGAGGAUGACCAGCACACUUAAUGCAGGGAUGAGGAUGACCAGCACACUUAAUGCAGUGAUGAGGAUGGCAGGAGUGCAUGUUGCUCCCCAACACCUCCUCCUCUUGCCACAUGAUAGAGAGAUGAACUAAGCAGAAACGUCAUCAGCCUCCGUUUCCUGUCAGCAUUCUCAGUUCCUCAGAAGCUUCACUGUAGCCACAGAUGCCUAGACUGGGGGCCUGUUUCUGCAGGGUGUGGUGCCCAUACUGAACCACCAUGACAGGAAUCCCUCUUACCCUUCUGCUCUUAUGCACUGCUGGUCUUCAGGCUCUAAGUAUAACCUACACUCCUAAGGAGAUCUGUGUGCUCAAAGGGUCCAAAGUGCGCCUUCAGUGCACUUACACUCUUCCAGCAAGAGACCGUUUCAAAGCAGGUUAUUGGUAUAAAAAUGAUUCCUUGGUACCAAGCAGGGAUUCCAAUGGAAAUAUUCAGCACAAUACGGCCUCUCCACAAUGUUUACUGUGGAUACACAACCUGACACCUCAUGACUCAGGAUCUUAUGAAUACAGAGUCAAAAUUCAACACACAACCAUAACAGGGCCAGGUAGAGCCGCUGUCCGUGUCGUAGCUACUGCACAGAAGGGCUGUUGGGGAGUGUCCUACUCGUCGACCAGCUUCUGUGCCUUGAGGGGCUCAACACUGGACAUUCCCUGCACGUACGGACACCCCAGAGAUCAUACAGUCAUCAAAACAUUGUGGCACAAAGAAGGUGAGAAGGGUAAGGAUCAUAUUGACCUGCGUCUGGAGCAGCAGUAUCGGGGCAGAGUGGAGCAUCUCGGUACUGAGAAUGACUGCACUUUGAGAAUCAGAGACGUGAGACAGACUGACUCAGGACAAUAUACAUUCAGAUACACCACCGACAAACCAGGAGGGAAUUUCUCAGGAGUCCCGGUGACAAUCGCUGUCACAGGUAACUAUGUCAAUGAAUUAAUAAAAUACAAUGGAGAAUUUUAAAACUCCUGCGUUUUAAUUGCACU